rnacentral:lncRNA from 13 species
AUGAUAUAUCCAUACAGACAUGAGACAUAUCCCAUGAUAUAUCCAUACAGACAUGAGACAUAUCCCAUGAUAUAUCCAUACAGACAUGAGACAUAUCCCAUAUAUCCCAUGAUAUAUCCAUACAAACAUGCUUUAGCUUCUAAAGGGAGGAGUGAAGUAAAGGGAAUGGUUAGGUAUUAUUAUUCUGAGGUUACUCUUUAAACAGCACUUUAACCCACCCCCAGACUAACUAGAGGAGGGAGACAGAUCCAUGAUUGAUCUGUUGACUGAUUGAACAUGUAGAUGAUAAAGUCAUCCAUACAUCUUGUCUGAGCACAGAGCAUGUAGUGGGCCAUUUUCCAAGAGGCCCUCCUAGACAGGCUUGCCCUAUGUUAAACUCUACAAGGGGAACAUUUAGGCUGCACUUCCUUUACCUUGUAACCUAGCUAACCUCAUGUUCCUGGCUUCUGGGGAACAAGACUACCUUACACCAAAUCCACAAAACUACAAUACCCAUAAGUCCUGAGCUUAAGGAAUGUGCAACACGUUCUCAGUCAGUCACCAGCGUUUCCCACGGGAACAGCCCAGUGACACAGAGAAUUGCAUUCUGGGAAAUCAUUGCUUGUACCUUAUUACUAAAGAGUGAAAAGUAUGGUCAUAUAUACAGAUUAGAAACAGAACAAAACUAUAUUGUGUGCGUGUGCAUAAGAGAGAGAGUGUGUGUGUGUGUGUGUGUGUGUGUGUGUGUGUGUGUGUGUGUGUGUGUGUGUGUGUAUAAGGGUGUUUGAGUGGGGGGAGCGUUGGUGUACUUUAGAUUUAGUAUCUAAGAGGUCAGAUCAGAAAACAGCUCAAUGUUAAGUAGCUAUAAAUGGAGCAUAAGAACCAGGGUAGUGGAGAAUCAAGGUUGACAGGGGUUCAGGGGUUUCUUUACACUGUUCAAACCCCCUUUGUCCUGUGAGGUAAACUUCUGGCGUGAAGUGUACCUGGGCAUCAACAACCCUCCUAUAUAUUGCUCUGUUGUGUAUCACUAUAGCGUGUCAUAAAAGUAUCCCAUCACAUCAUACAGAUAAUAAUCUCUUCAUAAUGCAUUGUCCUAUUGUUGUGUGUUGUGUAACUUAGUGUUUCCUAGUGUGCACUUCAGCAUAGUGGCCUAGUGAAGUGCCCAGUCCUGUUGACUUCUGUAGAUACUGUACACUUUGAAGAAGAUAACUUUAGUGUUGUUAGUGUAUGCUUGGUACCAUAUUGGUACCGUAUUGGUAAAGUAUUGGUACCGUAUUGGUACUGUAUUGGUACUGUAUUGGUACCGUAUUCUGCCUGAGUGACUGAUUGAUGAGGUAAUAGAAUGGGGGAUCAGGUGCUAGAGUUGACCUUCGGGGUGCCAGGUCUGGGCACUGUAAUGUACAAAUGUGUGUGUGUGUGGGGGGGGGAAGCAUGCAAUGGAUUAAAUAGUGAGAUUCUCCAGGCUCAGUAUGUAAUCCAUUCCAUUCCAAAUAUGAUUUGGAAACAAAGGAUUACCAUCCUAUAGACACAAUUCUAUGCCUCGUGUGUGUGUGUGCACGUGCAUACAUGUGUGUGUGGGGUAGAGAAAUGGACACGACGGUAUGGUAGUUAGCUAGGUGUCGAUGUUUCAGCUAUUGGCUGGGGUUAGGGCUUGAGGUGUUGGUUAAGGUUAGGGGUUGACGUGUUGGUUAAGGUUAAGGUUAAGGUUAGGGCUUGGGGUGUUGGUUAAGGUUAGGGCUUGGGGUGUUGGUUAAGGUUAGGGCUUGAGGUGUUGGUUAAGGUUAGGGGUUGAGGUGUUGGUUAAGGUUAGGGGUUGAGGUGCUGGUUAAGGUUAGCGGNNNNNNNNNNAAAAGUAGCUGAUAGGUUGCAAGAAGGUAGUCAAUGAGGUCACUUCCUAUGUUUUCCCAAUCACUGAUCAGUAAAUACUAUGUGACUCUGCCCUUUCCUGUCUGCUCAAACUGCAGCCAUUUCACAAACAUGAGACAUCCAAAUAUCCCAUGAUAUAUCCAUACAGACAUGAGACAUAUCCCAUGAUAUAUCCAUACAGACAUGAGACAUAUCCCAUGAUAUAUCCAUACAGACAUGAGACAUAUCCCAUGAUAUAUCCAUACAGACAUGAGACAUAUCCCAUGAU